rnacentral:rRNA from 1 species
UACACCUCUUCCCAUUCCGAACAGAGAAGUUAAGCCUUGUUGAGCCGAUGAUACUCGUCAAGGGAAAAGUAGGCUGUCGCCAACA